UACGUAGGGUGCGAGCGUUGUCCGGAAUUAUUGGGCGUAAAGGGCUCGUAGGCGGUUUGUCGCGUCGGAAGUGAAAACACGGGGCUUAACUCUGUGCUUGCUUUCGAUACGGGCAGACUAGAGGGAUGCAGGGGAGAACGGAAUUCCUGGUGUAGCGGUGAAAUGCGUAGAUAUCAUUUGGAACGCCAAUGGUGAAAACAGGUAGCUGGGAGUGUGCUGACGCUGAGACACGAAAGCCAGGGGAGCGAACGGGG
rnacentral:rRNA from 1 species